CAGCAAUAUUGAGGAGAUCAUUGCAAAAUUUGCUCAACUUAGCCCACAAGAAAGAGCCAAAAGGAAAAUGGAGAGCCUUGAAGCACUAAAGAAAACCUUUAGGAAGUUAGACCAUGACGUAAAAAUACAAGAUUUCUUAGGUUCAAG